UCGAAGCCCAGAACAAGAUCCGCGCC
rnacentral:piRNA from 1 species